rnacentral:lncRNA from 1 species
CCAAAUUGCCCAGACAGAUGGUAGAAACAGGUAAGGUAGAAACACUCUUCGGCUGUGAGAGAGCCAUUUUCUUCAACAUGGUUCUUCUUUACUGUCAUUCCACAUAUUUUAGAUAAUUCACUCUUUCCAGAUAGGGAAAUUGUUGCUAAACUUCCUAAUGUUAACAUAAAGUAUCUUAUUUCGAGAACUGAACUUUCAAUUCAUUCUAGUUUCCUAAUUCAUUUAGCCAAAAAUGUUCCCCUAAAAGCAAGAAUAGAACAUUUUUUUGGUUGAACUAUUGUGCAUUUGUUACAACCAUUCACAGCAUCGACCCUUCACACUGGCUGAUCAUCCAGAAAAUAUCGAAGGAAAAGGAAGUGCAAGUGAACGUUAGGUCCAAAUAGCACAAUCUCUCGGCUCACUAGAGCAGAAUCGCUCUCUAACACACUGGUCAUAGGCUAUAUUACUAGCUCUUUUUAUCCUAUCUCUAGGUAGAAAAGCCAUAAUUUAAACUGACAGCAUUACUUGUCAUGAAGUCUGUGAGUUUACAAUUUCUAAAUGUCAGUUUGAACUCCUGACUAGUUCCUUAGAGCACUACUGUUUUUUUCUAAAUGAUGCCGCUUGUCAGCUCUGCCUACAUAAAAGCAGUUAAUCAGCAGUUUGCAGGCCAACAGAAGCAGAAUGGGCCGCUGUGCUAAUAGUGGCCCCACAAAGCACCUCCUACUCAGAAGGAACGUCUUCUCCUAAGCCAAUAUUAUCUUCACAUCACUAAUCCAUUCACCAGCCUACAGCAAAGAUUUCAUGCCAAGGAACUUGCUAUUUUGAAGUAAUAGUCUGAACUCGGUCUGACGUGUCCAUGGGCCCGAAGCCUACCAUGGAGCAGCUGCUGCCAGUAGUACCUGGGGACCACUGGGACCCCUGACCCUCCUCACUGUGACGACUUCCAGUAGUACCUGGGGACCACUGGGACCCCCGUCCCUCCCUACUGUGACCACUGCCAGUAGUACCUGGGGACCACUGGGACCCCCGUCCCUCCUCACUGUGACCACUGCCAGUAGUACCUGGGACCACUGGGACCCCCGACCCUCCUCACAGCAGCCACUGCC